rnacentral:rRNA from 1 species
UAGAGGAUAGGCGGGAGGCUUCGAAGCCCGGGCGCCAGCCCGGGUGGAGCCGACCUUGGAAUACCGCCCUCGGCGCGCCGGCGUCCUAACCCCAUGCCGUCAUCCGGAUGGGGGACCGUGCCAGGUGGGUAGUUUGACUGGGGCGGUCGCCUCCUAAAGGGUAACGGAGGCGCGCGAAGGUCCGCUCGGGACGGUCGGCAACCGUCCUCUUGAGUGCAAGAGCAUAAGCGGGCUUGACUGCGAGGCCUACAAGCCGAGCAGGUGCGAAAGCAGGCUCUAGUGAUCCGGCGGCCCCGCGUGGGUGGGCCGUCGCUCAACGGAUAAAAGGUACUCCGGGGAUAACAGGCUGAUCUUGCCCAAGAGUCCACAUCGACGGCAAGGUUUGGCACCUCGAUGUCGGCUCAUCGCAUCCUGGGGCUGGAGCAGGUCCCAAGGGUACGGCUGUUCGCCGUUUAAAGCGGUACGCGAGCUGGGUUCAGAACGUCGUGAGACAGUUCGGUCCCUAUCCUCCGCGGGCGCAGGAGAAUCGAGGGAGGCUGCCCCUAGUACGAGAGGACCGGGGUGGACGCACCUCUGGUGAACCGGUUGUCGACCAACGGCACGGCCGGGUAGCCACGUGCGGCGCGGAUAACCGCUGAAGGCAUCUAAGCGGGAAGCCGUUCCCGAGAUCAGUUCUCCUUUCGGUAAGGGCCCAGGUAGACUACCUGGUCGAUAGGCCGCAGGUGCAAGCACGGCGACGUGCUCAGCCGAGCGGUACUAAUAGCCCGAGCUCUUACCCGC